UACAGAGGUAUCAAGCGUUGUUCGGAUUCAUUGGGCGUAAAGGGUGCGUAGGCGGGGUUUUAAGGCAGGGGUGAAAUCCUGGAGCUCAACUCCAGAACUGCCUUUGAUACUGAAGAUCUUGAGUCCGGAAGAGGUGAGUGGAACUCCGAGUGUAGAGGUGAAAUUCGUAGAUAUUCGGAAGAACACCAGUGGCGAAGGCGGCUCACUGGCCCGGUACUGACGCUGAGGUGCGAAAGCGUGGGGAGCAAACAGG
rnacentral:rRNA from 1 species